rnacentral:rRNA from 1 species
AUUGAACGCUGGCGGCAUGCCUUACACAUGCAAGUCGAACGGCAGCACGGGGCAACCUGGUGGCGAGUGGCGAACGGGUGAGUAAUGCAUCGGAACGUACCUUUCAGUGGGGGAUAACGUAGCGAAAGUUACGCUAAUACCGCAUAUUCUGUGAGCAGGAAAGCAGGGGAUCGCAAGACCUUGCGCUGAUUGAGCGGCCGAUGUCAGAUUAGCUAGUUGGUGAGGUAAAGGCUCACCAAGGCGACGAUCUGUAGCGGGUCUGAGAGGAUGAUCCGCCACACUGGAACUGAGACACGGUCCAGACUCCUACGGGAGGCAGCAGAGGGGAAUUCUGGACAAUGGGGGCAACCCUGAUCCAGCCAUGCCGCGUGAGUGAAGAAGGCCUUCGGGUUGUAAAGCUCUUUCGGCCGGGAAGAAAUCGCACGGGCUAAUACCCUGUGUGGAUGACGGUACCGGAAUAAGAAGCACCGGCUAACUACGUGCCAGCAGCCGCCGCAG